rnacentral:rRNA from 1 species
GUGGGGAAUCUUGCGCAAUGGGCGAAAGCCUGACGCAGCCAUGCCGCGUGAAUGAUGAAGGUCUUAGGAUUGUAAAAUUCUUUCACCGGGGACGAUAAUGACGGUACCCGGAGAAGAAGCUCCGGCUAACUUCGUGCCAGCAGCCGCGGUAAUACGAAGGGGGCUAGCGUUGCUCGGAAUUACUGGGCGUAAAGGGCGCGUAGGCGGACAGCUUAGUCAGAGGUGAAAGCCCAGGGCUCAACCUUGGAUUUGCCUUUGAUACUGGCUGUCUUGAGUUUGGGAGAGGUGAGUGGAACUCCGAGUGUAGAGGUGAAAUUCGUAGAUAUUCGGAAGAACACCAGUGGCGAAGGCGACUCACUGGCCCAAUACUGACGCUGAGGCGCGAAAGCGUGGGGAGCAAACAGGAUUAGAAACCCGUGUAGUCC